ensembl:lincRNA
GCCAGGGCCGGCGGCCUCCAGCUGAUUUGAAAACUCUCACAGAUAUUGUAACAGCUGCUGAGUCUCUGAUUGGGUAUGAAGCCCUAACUCUGACUCCCGCUACGCUAGUUCAAGCAGAAUUAAGUCAGCAGAGCCACCACACAAACUCUCCUUUUAAGUUGAGCUACAAGGGGCUUGAGAUGGAAUCAUAUUGAAACUGUGAAGCCUUCUGCCAGAAAUUACUUCAUGUAAAGUGUAGGAGACACCACACAAGAGGUUACUAUGAGGAGACAGGCUCAAAUGAUAAGAUCCUCAUACUAAGAAUAAAUGAAU